rnacentral:rRNA from 1 species
GAUGAACGCUGGCGGCGUGCCUAAUACAUGCAAGUCGAGCGAAUGGAUUAAGAGCUUGCUCUUAUGAAGUUAGCGGCGGACGGGUGAGUAACACGUGGGUAACCUGCCCAUAAGACUGGGAUAACUCCGGGAAACCGGGGCUAAUACCGGAUAACAUUUUGAACCGCAUGGUUCGAAAUUGAAAGGCGGCUUCGGCUGUCACUUAUGGAUGGACCCGCGUCGCAUUAGCUAGUUGGUGAGGUAACGGCUCACCAAGGCAACGAUGCGUAGCCGACCUGGGAGGGUGAUCGGCCAACAUGGGACUGAGAACCGGCCCAGACUCCUACGGGAGGCAGCAGUAGGGAAUCUUCCGCAAUGGACGAAAGUCUGACGGAGCAACGCCGCGUGAGUGAUUAAGGCUUUCGGGUCGUAAAACUCUGUUGUUAGGGAAGAACAAGUGCUAGUUGAAUAAGCUGGCACCUUGACGGUACCUAACCAGAAAGCCACGGCUAACUACGUGCCAGCCGCCGCAGUAA